AAUAACAAUUUGGGCUGUAGGGAUUUUUAUUCGAAAGCCAUACAACUCCGGUACAAUUAAUUGUAAUAUCUGAAUAAAUGAUCUCCCAAUGAGUAAAUUAAGAAAUAUGUACCUAAUUUACCUGGGUAUUUAUUGAAGUUUCGUAAUAGAAUUUUCAUAAAAGGCAAUUAUACUCUGAUUUAUUCCUUCUUUUUCGAAGUACUUACGUACCUUCAUGUAACUGGAAAGCAAAUAGUUCUCGAGCAUAUCUUUCGAUUAGCUGAAGAAUUCGAAAACGUACGCAGAGCGCGCGCAUUAGGAUUGUCUGGGCGCGAAUUUUUCAUCUACACUUGCUCCUUAAUGGUACAUUUUAUCCAGGUGAAUUGUUCACGUUGUGCGGGAAUAAUUCAAAUGCGCAUGUUUCCAGCUCGAGAUACUUACCUUGAUGAAAUUUUUGUAGAUAGAUUGAAUUUGUGCAACGCACAAUUGUAUAUUACUGCUGAUUGUGGUUUCAUAAUUAACUUGAACAUUUUUUUACAUUAUAAGGAGUUGUUUGCGGUGAAAUAUUGAUACAUACGUGUCGUAAUGGUUGCCGAGUUUUUGCCGUGAAUAUGAACAUUUGAAUACCAUUAAGUUAUCAUGAUGGAGAUGAGAUUUAAUAUUACAACCAGUGAAUAUGGCGACGUUAACGAAUAUCAAAUCAAACAAAUUGUAUGCACUGCAAUCAAUAACAUGCUGUGGUAUUUUAUUGAAAUCGCUAUAGCCGCAAAUUUAAUUUUUUUUAUUCUUGUGAUGGGAUGCAUGUACUUUUGGAAACCUCGUCCCCACAAACAGAACUUAAGCGUCGAAGCAGAAAGCGAAAUCCUAGAUGAUUCUAUCAAAGAAAUAGAAAUACAUGGAACUGAAUGGAAACCCCACGCCGGGUUUGUUGCUGAGGCUCCAUACGGAGAAUUUGAAGCUCCUCCAUCGUACGAUGAAUUGAUAAAUCAACCGACCACUAUUUCAAUUGCAAAUGAUAAUAGUGAUUGUACUAGUUAUGUGUUUAUUAAUUUUAAUCCGUAAUCAUGUAAAUGUGUAUUUUUAUUUAAUAAUACGUCGAAUUAAGAAUGAUGGUUUUCAAAAAGUCAUGCAUGAAUAUCCCUCUCCCAUAAUCCUUUUCAAAAUACUGACAUGAUCGAACAAAUAUCAAGAAAUUCGCGGUAGCCUAAGACCAUGACGAACCUAUUAUGUAAUGAACUACAUACAAAAAUGUAAUCAGUGUUUGUUAGAAAUAAUUCGCUAGCAGUCUGAUAACUAAACAUAAGUAUAUAGUCUAAAAUAUUCAUCGAUUUUGUAUUAAUAAAUUCGCAUUUAUUACAAUAA